AGGUAAAAGCAUGGUGUGGUAAUUUAAUAGGACGUGUGAAAGGGCCCCUCCUCAUGGCUUAUUCAUUGUAAGGGAUGUCAUUACUGAGAAUGGCGUGAGCUAUGUGAGGGAUCUGCUGGUGGGGGCAUUUUCCCCGGUGUCACAGAGUGCAGGGAGGGCAAAAGCUGCAGGACUCGGCGAACUGGUGCAGCUGAAGCAAAUCGUAAAUGCAGGCAGUGAUGGUUUGCUGUCAGCAGAUGGAUAUCGGUGUUUGCGUGACAUAAACGUAUGAUUUAUGUGGAGAACCUAGUGUUGCAGAUCCCCAAUAAUGCAUUAUGGGAGUUUUCGCUGAAAUAACAAUUUAGCAGUGAUGUUAUGAGCUAAUCGGUGGGGAAAAAAGAUUUUACUUAUAUAAAAACUGCAAUGAAGUUGCAAAAGGUAUGGACAUUGACUAGAUGGAGUCAGGGUUUACACGUUCCUUUUUUUUGGGUGCAAAAAAUUGAGGUUGGCAGCUUUCACCUUGGUCCAGGACAGCAAUCAUGAAAAAGAAAGCUCCGCAGCAGGGAGCAGGAACGCUGCACUGCUGCAGGAAAACCACCUAAAGCCUAAAACAGAGCAUUUCUAACAGAGACACUAAAGCCAUCAGUGAAAGACUUCUGAGAAAAAAGGAAGAAGUCAAACAAUGGCUGACUGCAUGAUGGAUGAUCUCGCUCUCACAAUUGUGGAUCGCAUAAAAAACAAAUUCGGUUGGUCAAGAUUUUUCUACCAAUUUAGCGCAGUGCAGAACAGCACUGGUGGAACAUUGCAUCAUGGGUAAUGAAAGGUAGGCAAGAGAGAUCGCAGAUUAAGGACAUUUUGCUUCACUGAAGGGAAUUUUGUGCUGUUCCUCAGAGAAGUGAAACCCUAACCAGGUUUUGAGUUGGCGGCUUGUAGACAGGCUUCCAUGGCUGUUUCUCAUUUGUCAGACUCUGGUGACAAGUGUGAGCAAUAAUCAAUAAAUAAUGUGCAAUAAAUAAAGUUUGAUCUUUUUAGUUGAAAUACAUUCGUUAGUUAUUACUUGGAGUACACCAAAUCAUUUCAUUUUUACUGAGUAAGGGGUUUUAGGUUUUUCUAGGGAAGUGUCACAUUUCACAAUCCCAAGAAAAGGAAUGACUGAACAUAAAGGAAUAAGCAAAUAUUUCUAUAACAUAUCUCUGCAGAUCAUGCCUGAGAACAUCCAUCUUUCUGAGACUUUUUAGACACUGAGAGAACUUUCUCAUCACUCUGAGUUUUAACAACCUCAUGUCUCCAAUCUGCUUUUAUUGUGGUGUGAAGAUUAAUAUGAAAGGAUGGCGAGUUAUGUUAUGCAUAAAAGGGUCCUUUACACUGAAUAUCCUUUACACAGUGCAAGGAUGGGGAGGAGGAGGAGAAAGAGGAUGGCUGCUGAGGAGAAGGAGAACUGAGGAUGCGCACACACGCACACACACACGCGCGCGCGCGCACUGACCCUGGAGGUUGCGUUCCCCUUUAAAAGUCCCAUCCCUCUCAGAUACGCAGAGCUCAUGCAGGAUCUGCUGCGGCAGUGGGGGAACACUGCUGAGCUGUGCAGUUUAUGCUGCCAGUGAGAGUGCAAAGAAGAGGAGGGGGAACAAGCGUGUACCGGAGGAGGAGGAGAAGGAGGAGGAGUGAGGGAGAGAGAGAGAGAGAGAGUGGGAACAAUGUCAUUCUGUUCAGGAGGCAAUGCUGCAGUCAACUUUGCCACGCCACGAAAGCACAUCACCAGUGACCAAGAGGCUCAGCGCAAAGUGAAGAGAAGUUUUCAUCCUCUCCUCCUUGUGUUCGAUGCGGCGUGAGACUCUUCUACAGGCUCCAUGCCCACGGUUCAGCUGCUGGUGGCCUGUUGGAACAUGCCUUGACUUGUUGCUGCCUGACUGAAGCAGAGAGAGAGAGAGAGAGAAGGCUGGAGGUCAUCUGGUGACCCACAGGCUGGGAAAGACUUGGUCAGACAUCUGCAGAUUUAAACAACAUUGUCCGAAGAGGUGAUGGUGGACAGAGAAACUGUGCGGGUCACCCAGGAGUUUGCAAAGCAUCACACCCCCAAACAUCAGGGAGGAAGAAGAGCGAGCGAGCGCCCGCAGCACCGGACUAACAGGUUAAAAUGAGCUACAAAGAGCUGCCAGGAUGGUGCUGAGAGGAAGCAGGUAGACAGAUGGGGGGUUCGGACGCGGCUGCUGUGGGUGUUUCUCUGGCAGUGUCUUAGCUGGUUGUUGUGAGGAGUGAGAACGAAGCAAUCAGCAAGUAUACUGCCGCAGAAAUUCUUCGCAAUGAGAAGCCCUGCGGUCGUGAAAGUUGUGGGCGCAAAAGGGAGGAACGAUUUGGAUUGCAGCGAAUGACCAGACACUGAUGCUUCAGUGUGUUUAAAGCCGGUGCACAAUUACUCAAAGACAGGAUGACUGAGAGCCCGGCCUUUUGGUUAACACCAUGACAAUAUUUAUGAUUGGAUCAAAGCAUCAAACUUCUGGAGGCUGUUUUUGAGUAUAAUGACCUUCUGCUGCCAUCUUGUGACUGAAAGAGGCCUAUCAGCAUGCUUUUGCUCAUCAAACAUUGCACCAAUUUAUAACACCUGCAUAGAUUUUCUCUUUUAAACAAACUGUUAAAACAGCACGGCUUAACAGGUCCUUGUUCCUGCUUUUAAAUUGCAAAUGCAUGUUUCUUUAUCAGUCUCAGUUUGCUUUAAAAGUGUUUUAUUUAUCCUGGAUGCAGACUAAUUGAAAUUUAAUUUUUUAAUGUAUCUGCAGGUGCCAAGUCAUUUCUUCACAUUAGAUUAUAAUUGUGAAAAUGUGGUGAAUAAAAAUUAUCUAAAUUCGGA